GCCGAGGCCGCCGCCGCCCCCUCCGCCGCCGCCGCCCCGGCGCGGAGCUGGUUUUCCGGGUUCCCCUGGACCGAGCUGGAUCCUGCCGCUCGCCAAGGCCGGAAGUGAGUUUCGCACGGUAAUUCCGGGCGGUGUCACGAGUGAAAAGUUUUUUUUUUUUUCUCCCGGCGGAGAUCCUGGUCGGGGCUGGGAAACUCCUGCAAAACUCGAGACGCGAACGCCAGCCCGCUCCCAGCCCCCGCCGCCGCCGCAGCCGCUCUUCCGACCGCGGGAGGCCGCCCCGCAUCCGCUCUCACCGGGAGGAGUUCGGCCGGAGCCCCAGUGACUAAUGAAGGGGAGGAAACCAUGUCUGGCGGAGCCCUGAGAAAGCUGCCCUGAGACACCGUCCGACCGAAAGAAUGUUGGCUCAGUUAAGAAACAGCAGGGAGAUAAAUUCAGCCAAGUGUGUCUAAAAAUGACUACAAAACGAAGUUUGUUUGUGCGGUUGGUACCCUGCCGAUGCUUACGAGGGGAAGAGGAGACUGUCACUACUCUUGAUUAUUCUCAUUGCAGUUUGGAACAGGUUCCCAAAGAGAUUUUUACUUUUGAAAAAACUUUGGAGGAGCUCUAUUUAGAUGCUAAUCAGAUUGAAGAGCUUCCAAAGCAACUUUUUAACUGUCAAUCUCUACACAAACUGAGUUUGCCAGACAAUGAUUUAACAACAUUACCAGCAUCUAUUGCAAAUCUCAUUAAUCUCAGGGAACUGGAUGUCAGCAAGAAUGGAAUACAAGAGUUUCCAGAAAAUAUAAAAAAUUGUAAAGUUUUAACAAUUGUGGAGGCCAGUGUAAACCCUAUUUCCAAGCUUCCCGAUGGAUUUUCUCAGCUGUUAAACCUAACUCAGUUAUAUCUGAAUGAUGCUUUUCUUGAGUUCUUGCCAGCUAAUUUUGGCAGAUUAACUAAACUCCAGAUACUAGAACUUAGAGAAAACCAAUUGAAAAUGUUGCCAAAAACCAUGAAUAGACUGACCCAGCUGGAAAGAUUGGAUUUGGGAAGUAAUGAAUUCACAGAAGUGCCUGAAGUACUUGAGCAACUAAGUGGAUUGAAAGAAUUUUGGAUGGAUGGGAAUAGACUGACAUUUAUUCCAGGGUUUAUUGGUAGUUUGAAACAACUCACAUAUUUGGAUGUUUCUAAAAAUAAUAUUGAAAUGGUUGAAGAAGGAAUUUCAGCAUGUGAAAACCUUCAAGAUCUCCUAUUAUCAAGCAAUGCACUUCAACAACUGCCUGAAACUAUUGUCUUACUUCAUUUUAGACUCACAGCCACAAGAGACCAGGAGGAGGACUAUAACCGUGAACAAAGCAAUCAAAAAGUCCCUACUCUAAUGUUGCUUACGUUUCAGAGGGGGUUAAUAGGUUCAUUGAAGAAUGUAACAACUCUUAAAAUAGAUGAAAAUCAAUUAAUGUAUCUACCAGACUCUAUUGGAGGGUUAGUAUCAAUAGAAGAACUGGAUUGUAGCUUCAAUGAAGUUGAAGCUUUACCUUCAUCUAUUGGGCAGCUUACUAAUAUAAGAACCUUUGCUGCAGAUCAUAACUACUUACAACAGUUACCCCCGGAGAUUGGCAGAUGGAAAAAUAUAACUGUGCUGUUUCUCCAUUCCAAUAAACUUGAGACACUUCCAGAGGAAAUGGGUGAUAUGCAAAAAUUAAAAGUCAUUAAUUUAAGUGACAAUAGGUUAAAGAAUUUGCCCUUUAGCUUUACGAAGCUACAGCAGUUGACUGCAAUGUGGCUCUCAGAUAAUCAGUCCAAACCCCUGAUACCUCUUCAAAAUGAGACUGAUUCAGAGACCCAGAAAAUGGUGCUUACUAACUACAUGUUCCCUCAGCAGCCAAGGACUGAGGAUGUUAUGUUCAUAUCAGAUAAUGAAAGUUUUAAUCCUUCAUUGUGGGAGGAACAGAGGAAACAGCGGGCUCAAGUGGCGUUUGAAUGUGAUGAAGACAAAGAUGAAAGGGAGGCACCUCCCAGGGAGGGAAAUUUAAAGAGAUAUCCAACACCAUACCCAGAUGAGCUUAAGAAUAUGGUCAAAACUGUUCAAACCAUUGUACAUAGAUUAAAAGAUGAAGAGACUAAUGAAGACUCUGGAAAAGAUUUGAAACCACAUGAAGAUCAGCAAGUUGUAAAUAAUGAUGUGGGUGUGAAGACUUCAGAAAGUACUGCUCCAGUAAGAAGCAAAGCCGAUGAAAGAGAAAAAUACAUGAUAGGAAACUCUAUACAGAAGACUAAUGAACCUGAAGCUGAGACCAGUCCUGGGAAUCCACCAGUGACUGCAAAUAUGAAAGCCUCUGAGAGCAUGAAGCAGGCCAAUCACGAUGAUGUUUUUGAGGAAUCUGAAGAACUUUCUUCUGAUGAAGAGAUGAAAAUGGCAGAGAUGCGACCACCAUUAAUUGAAACCUCUAUUAUCCAGCCAAAAGUGGUAGCACUUAGUAAUAGCAAAAAAGAUGAUACAAAGGAUAUAGAUUCUUUAUCAGAUGAAGUUACACACAAUAGCAAUCAGAAUAAUAGCAACUGUUCUUCUCCAUCCCGGAUGUCUGAUUCAGUUUCUCUUAAUACUGAUAGUAGUCAAGAUACCUCACUCUGCUCUCCAGUGAAACAAACUCACAUUGGUAUUAAUUCCAAAAGAAGGCAAGAAGAUGAAAAUUUUAACAGCCUUUUACAAAAUGGAGAUAUUUUAAACCAUUCAACAGAGGAACAAUUCAAGGUUCAUGAUAAAAAAGAUUUCAACUUACCUGAAUAUGAUUUGAAUAUUGAGGAACGAUUAGUUCUUAUUGAGAAAGGUAUUGACUCAAUAGCCACAUCUGAUGAAUCUCACAAAUUAGACCAUAUCAAUAUGAAUCUUCAUAAACUUAUAACCAAUGAUACAUUUCAACCAGAGAGAAUAGAAAGAUCAAAGGCACAGGAUAUCAUGUUUGGAACGGCCUUUUUAAGCGUUAAUGCUAAAGGACAAGCUGAGCGCUUGGAAAAUGGAAACAAGUGUCCUAAUCUGGAAUGUGUAAAUAAGGUGAAUGGACAUUCUGAGGAAACUCCACAGUCUCCUCGGAAGACUGAGCCCCAGGACACUGAUCCUUCUAUUGAUAUGGGUAUUUCCAAGAGCACCGAAGAUCUCUCCCCUCAGAGAAGUGGGCCAGUUGGGUCUGUUGUAAAAUCUCAUAGCAUAACUAAUAUGGAGACUGGAGAGCUAAAAAUCUAUGACAUUCUUAGUGAUAAUGGACUUCAGCAGCCAAGUGCAACAGCUAAAGUCACAUCUAUUGAUGGAAAAAAUAUAGUCAGGAGCAAGUCAGCUACACUUUUGUAUGAUCAACCAUUGCAAGUAUUUACUGGUUCUUCUUCAUCUUCUGAUUUAAUAUCAGGUACAAAGGCAAUUUUUAAGUUUGAUUCAAAUCAUAAUCCUGAAGAGCCAAAUAUAAGAGGCCCCGUAGCAAGUGGUCCACAAUCUGCGCCUCAGAUAUAUGGUCCUCCACAAUAUAACAUCCAGUACAGUAGCAGCGCUGCAGUCAAGGACACUUUGUGGCACUCCAAACAAAAUCCCCAAAUGGAUCACGUCACUUUUCCUUCUCAGCGCCUUCCUCGAUCAGAGAGCACAGAAAACCACAGUUAUGCUAAUAAACAUUCUGCCAAUAUGAAUUUCUCUAACCAUAACAAUGUUCGAGCUAAUACUGGAUACCAUUUACAUCCAAGACUUGGCCCAGGAAGACAUGGGGAAAUGUGGGCCAUCUCACCAAAUGACCGACUCAUUCCUGGAGCAACUCGAAAUACAAUUCAGCGACAAAGUAGUGUGUCCUCUACAGCCUCUGUAAAUGUUAGUGAGCCAGGUCCCACAAGGCGGGCCCAAAUCCCUGAAGGAGAUUAUUUAUCAUACAGGGAGUUACAUUCAGUGGGAAGAACUGCUCCAAUGAUGUCAGGAUCACAGAGACCUCUUUCUGCACGAACAUAUAGCAUUGAUGGUCCAAAUACAUCUAGGCCUCAAAGUGCUCGACCCUCAGUUAGUGAAAUACCAGAGAGAACUAUGUCAGUUAGUGAUUUCAAUUAUUCACGGACUAGUCCUUCAAAAAGACCAAAUGCAAGGGUUGGUUCUGAGCAUUCUUUAUUAGAUCCUCCAGGAAAAAAUAAAGUUCCUCAUGAUUGGCGAGAACAAGUACUACGACAUAUAGAAGCCAAAAAGUUAGAAAAGAGCGUGCUGUCACGGUCCUUUAAUUCCAAUUUCACUGCUGUAAGCAGCUUUCACUGUGGCAGCUCUAGGGACCUGCAUGGCAGCCAAGGCAGUCUUGCCUUUUGUGUUGCAGACGGAAGAGGUUCUGGUGGGCACAUUUUCCGACAUCCCCAGACAUCCUGUCCAGGAGAUCCUUGUCAAGAUGAUAUAUUCAUUUCAGGACAGCACAACUACUCAUCAGCUACACUUAGUCACAAAGAUGUUCCUCCAGACAGCUUGAAAACACUUCAUGUUUUUCUUAGAUGCCUUUGAGUAAUGGACAGAUGGGCCAGCCUCUCAGGCCUCAGGCAAAUUAUAGUCAAAUACAUCACCCCCUUCCUCAGGCAUCUGUGGCAAGGCAUCCCUCUAGAGAACAACUAAUUGAUUACUUGAUGCUGAAAGUGGCCCACCAGCCUCCAUAUACACAGCCCCAUUGUUCUCCUAGACAAGGCCAUGAGCUGGCAAGGCAAGAGAUUCGAGUGAGAGUUGAAAAGGAUCCAGAACUUGGAUUUAGCAUAUCAGGAGGUGUUGGUGGAAGAGGAAACCCAUUCAGACCUGAUGAUGAUGGUAUAUUUGUAACAAGGGUACAGCCUGAAGGACCAGCAUCAAAAUUAUUGCAACCAGGUGAUAAAAUUAUUCAGGCUAAUGGCUACAGUUUCAUUAAUAUUGAACAUGGACAAGCAGUGUCCUUGCUAAAAACUUUCCAGAACACAGUAGAACUCAUCAUUGUACGAGAGGUUUCCUCAUAAGAACUGUGGACAAAAAGGGGGGGAAGACAGCAAGAUUUAUUGGAAGAUAUUUGCAGGGGAAAUUAAUAUUUUGACUAUUUUUAUAUAUAAAGAAGAACUCAAAAAAAGUAUGUUCAAAUUUGUACAUUAAUGAAAUAAUGAAACUUGUGGCUAGAGGGAAAGAACCACUGUACAGUAUAUAGGGAAGACUGUUGAAUUCAAACCAUAUAAAACUUCCUGUUAGGUUUUUUAAAGACAUAGUAAUCAAGGCUACAAAAACAAACGUAUGUUGUUUUUGUAUAGAUUGUAGAUUUAUUUUUGGAUUUCAUAUACAGACUGAACUCUGUGCAAGGCUCUUGUUAGCCUUGAUUGUAGCCCAGAGACAGAUGGCAGAGCUAGCUGUCUCAUAGCUUUUAUGCCCUUAUUUUUAUUCAACUGAUUAUUAAUGUUUUUCUGCUGAAACCUUUUUUUUUUUUACUGUGGGCAAGAGAUUUGAAGUGUUGGCUUUUGCUAUGUGCAUAUUGAAUCGAAGAGUGAGCAGGUGAAGGUGGUGCUGAUGGGUUCACUUUCCAAGGCCUGAUUAAGUUAAUUCCUGUAAAAAUCUGAAAGCAAAGAAUGAAAAAACAGCUUUCUGUCCAUGUGUUUUUAUUAAUAGAAUAAUGCAAUAAAAAAUGUAAUGUCUUUUUAAAGAAAUAAAAAAGACGAUGAUUGCAUUUUAUGAGCUCUACAGGAUCUGUACUUGUCAUAGACAUUGACUACAUAAAUUUCCUACUGGUGAUUCAAUUUUCCAUUUUUUAGUCACAGGAAAUUUUAAACUCUACUGUAGAUGUAUGUCCAUGCUUUUUCUGUGAUAUGGAAAUCCCUUGUUUUCUUUUUUUUUUUUUUGCAAAUGAUAUUUGCGAUUUGUUUUAUAAUUAAUACUCCAUUUCAAUCUUAAUUUAUAAUUUUUAUUUUAAGCAGCAAAGGAAACUAAAAUGGCCAGUUUUAAGAUUGUGUUGCUAUGACACAAAAUGUAAGAAGAUUUAGGAAAGCCUCUUGCUUUUGUUUGGCCUCACAUUGCCUUGGUAAAGUAAAAGGAAACAGUACGCAUGGAGCUAGGAAACCAAAGCAAGUUUGUGAAACUGGCACAGUGAUAGAGCAUUGCUGUGGAGGGUUGUAGAGCAAAGGGAUGGGUCCUUGGGGCCUACCAGUGUGUAAAGGUGUUCAAAUAAAGGGCUGUUCCUACAGGUAACCUUAAAUGUGAACUCGACACUUCAGAGUCUUUAAAGGGUUUCUAAGUGUGUCAGUGUAAUAGUGUUUUACCACCAACUGCCUUUGUUGUCAUUAGUGUAAGAAAUUUUGGGUAGAGGUUUAUUAAUUUGUUUAUCCGAACAAAAUUUUGUUUUAUUUUUCUGUAUGUAAUCAAAUAAAAAUUGAAUAGCAUUCAAUGGUAAGAAUGAAUGCAUGGAUAUUUGGACCAUAAAAAAGUGCCAUAGAAGACCAAUAACUGUUUUUAUUCAAGGCUGAUCUAGAGCCUUUCAUUAGAGCAAUAUUCAGUUAUUGCAAUUCAUUUUUAAUUACUAAGAAAUAUAAUUUUGGAAUUUUUAAUAUGUUAUUCUUUGUUCUUCAACCGUGUUUUAAUUAAGACUUUUAUAGGACUAGCAAAAACAGCAAUCGACAUUAUUUUGCAAAAGUGAGUUAGACUCAUUCCUCUUACUAGUCAGAGUAACUUUUAAAAAGAUGUGAACUCAAAUAUUGCACUUCUUUCAAGAUGUUAUCAAUUGGUUAUUGUACUGUAUAGUUUUAAUGUUGAUUGAAACCCUUUAACAACUCUUUGUAAAUUUUAACUCAUUUUUGUUGAUUUUCAGUACUAUUUACAUAGGAAUUGAUUUUUAUGGAUAUAGUAGAAGAAAUGUGCUGUAUUUUGAUAAAAUUCAUUUAUUGUAUGUGUGUUGUAAUCUCUAAAAAAGAAUGACAAACAGAUUCUUUAAGAUAAGCCUUGGUGUUCCCUUUAUUCAUAGUUGAUUUUAAACUAUUUUAGCAUUGUAAUUUUACAAUGUAAUUUCAAUAUAUGUAAUUUUACAUUGUAUUUCACAUCAGUUUUAUUGAUUUAAAUCAAUUUUUCAGUCAUUUUCUGCUUUUAAUAGGAAUACAUAAAAUAGAUAUAAUUAUUACAUUUUCAACUACUUUACCUCGAAUUAGAUACACAAACUAUAAUUUUAGAAAAGGAAGUAAGCCACAAAGAACAAUUGAUUUAUCAAUGAUCUAAACUUAAUUGUCUGCUUUUAUAUUGAAAUAUUACAAAUGCAGGUAUUAUUAUAUGCACUAGUAUUUUUUCUACUCUAGUUAAUUUAAAAUAUUUUUUAAAUGUUCUUGUAACACAAAGUUGAAUAAGGAAAUUUUGUUACCAAGAGGAGUAACAUGAUACAUGAUAUAAUGUUAAAAACUAAUAGCAAAAAGUUUUGCACUUAAAAUAAUAACUAAAGUUUUCUUCUAAAAUAUUGGAAAAUUGAAAUGAAAUAACAAGGACUCUUCAUUCAAAUUUUUGUUUUGGUAAUGAUAAAGUUUCAAAAUUUAAAAGAGUAAUAAUUCAAAUCUUUUGAGGACAUAGAAAGGACAUUUUUAGUUUUUUUAAAGGUGAGUGAUUUACAGUCAAGGCCUACACCCAUAACAGACUUUAUUUUAAUAAGUAUCAUGUAACAAACCAUCAAAACUUUCUUAUUUUUAGUAACAGUGUUUAAAAUUGACUACCCUAAAAUUUUAAACCAUUAAAAAUGUCAUGUUAAGGGUAAUUUACUCAGUACAGAAUUGUACCCAUAAAACUAAAGUUUAACGAUUCAUUAAAGAAUCGUUAGUUUACCAGAACCAUGAAAUUCUAAAAUUCCCUAUGUAUUUAUUUUAUAAAUUUCUUCUGACCUCUUUAGAAUUAAAUGUUUAUAUACUUUUAAAAAAUUUAAACACAAAUAUUGCUAUAAAUUGAACUAAACUUUUAAGCAUUAAUUUGCUGUUUAAAAAAAAAAUCCCAUUAGCAGCUAUGUAAUAUUUUUGUCAACAUUUAUAAAACAUUCCAAAUUUUUGUAUAUAUCUAGAUUGUUUUAAGUAACCACAGUGACUAGGUAAUAAACUAAUGCUAUUUAAA